UGGGGAAUAUUGCACAAUGGGGGAAACCCUGAUGCAGCGACGCCGCGUGAGCGAUGAAGGCUUUCGAGUCGUAAAGCUCUGUCCUAUGGGAAGAUAAUGACGGUACCAUAGAAGAAAGCCCCGGCUAAUUACGUGCCAGCAGCCGCGGUAAUACGGAAGGUUCGGGCGUUAUCCGGAUUUAUUGGGUUUAAAGGGAGCGUAGGCCGUUUGGUAAGCGUGUUGUGAAAUGUAGGAGCUCAACUUCUAGAUUGCAGCGCGAACUGUCAGACUUGAGUGCGCACAACGUAGGCGGAAUUCAUGGUGUAGCGGUGAAAUGCUUAGAUAUCAUGAAGAACUCCGAUUGCGAAGGCAGCUUACGGGAGCGCAACUGACGCUGAAGCUCGAAGGUGCGGUAUCGAACAGG
rnacentral:rRNA from 1 species